AUGUCAUCCAAAUCAGUAAAGCGCCUAUACAUCAUCGACUGUUGUUCUUUACCUGACAUCAUGCGCCUUCGGAUUUGUGCCCCGAGUCUUAUCUCACUGCAGCUAGAGGAUUUUGAAGGCUUGACACCUUUUCUUGAAAACAUGCCAUUGCUACAAACAACUCAUGUUAACCUUGAUGAUGGAUGCCAUGAUCAUUGUCGUAGUAAUCGGGGGGUUUGUGAUAAUUUUGUCUGUGGUUGUCAUACUUAUCCUGUCAAGGAGGGGGUGCUUCUCAAUGGUUUGUCCAAUGCUGCCAAGUUGGACUUGAUAGCUUUACCUAAAAUGUUUCUCUACAGAUGGGAUUUGAAAUGGUCCCCCGUCUUUGGCAAAUUAAAGACUCUGUUACUCAAUAAAUGGUUUACGGCUAUUGACCUAGUUUGCAUUCUCCAACACUCUCCAGUUCUUGAGAUGCUCACUCUUCGGUUCGAUAACACUAAGGUAGAUUCGGCAUACUUCGUGACCAAAUUAGCAUCAAGGAGGAUCCACGUCCGGACUCAGAUUAUAUAUAAGCGAGUGAAUGGGGUCAUUGGAUGCCACGUUGCGGCAACAACAGAUAACUACUUUGUUCUUGUUUUUCUAAUGAUUUUUGUUUUCCUGCUCCGGUGCAACACCUGCCAAUGCUUGAAGGAAUGUGCGGUAUGGCUGCGGAAGUUGUCGAUCAUCGCUUCGGCCUCCUCCCCGGUGACAUCCUAUGGCGUGUGUUGCCCUUUUCAUCGGGGUCGUUGGAUGAGGCCCUGCAGACCCGUGUGCUCGACAACCGUGAUACCACAAGUCAUGGGUCGCCGACGGGGCUUGACUCAACUCGACCCCGCGCACCGUGCUCUCACGGGCUCGCUCUUCCACGACCGCAACAUCGGCAAGCAGGUUGGCAGGCUCGCUCACUGA
rnacentral:rRNA from 1 species